UACGUAGGUGGCAAGCGUUAUCCGGAAUUAUUGGGCGUAAAGCGCGCGUAGGCGGUUUCUUAAGUCUGAUGUGAAAGCCCACGGCUCAACCGUGGAGGGUCAUUGGAAACUGGGAAACUUGAGUGCAGAAGAGGAAAGUGGAAUUCCAUGUGUAGCGGUGAAAUGCGCAGAGAUAUGAAGGAACACCAGUGGCGAAGGCGACUUUCUGGUCUGUAACUGACGCUGAUGUGCGAAAGCGUGGGGAUCAAACAGG
rnacentral:rRNA from 1 species